GAGAGAGAGAGAGGGCGAGGGCGAGGGAGAGAGUGAGUGAGGAGGAGAGAGGGGGAAUGAGAGAAAGAGAGAGUGAGAGAAAGAGCGAGGGGAGAGAAGAGAGGGAGGCAUAUCACAGUCAGGCAUCAGACGACACCCAGGGCUUUGAGCGCGGCGGGAAGCAGUCCAUGGAGCCAGCAGCAGAGGGAGCUCAUUACUUCAGGAUAACACCUGCCGGGAUUGGGAGCGCUGCGCCUGGGAAGGGAAUCCCAUUAUGGAUGGAGGCUGCUGGAGCUUCGGCGCUGGACGUAGCAGGCCUUCACAGACACUGUGGCUCAGAAAAGCCAUUGAUGGGGCCUUGCCUUGCAACACUGUAAAGCGUCUUCAAUCAAUUGAUUUGAAAAGCCCCUCGCUAUUUCCAGGCGGUUGAGGAACGAUUGUUGGUUACGGUCGCGUACACGUUGCUUCUCCCCUUCCCCGCGACAAACAAACAAAAAAAAUGAAACGAAAACAAAACCAAAAAAAUGGCAAAACAUAAAAACACGAAAAAAAAGCGUCAAAGACUCUCUUCGGUGACGGGUAUUCUUGGGUGGAUAAUACGGAUGACGUUGUUAUUGCUUAAGAAUACGCGUAGUCGAGGAGAGUCAUGUCUACGGAGACCGCACAAGGGACUAGAGUGAGCUGAAGCCUCAAAGCUGCCAUCUGCCUAUGUGAGCUUUUUUAUGCUGUGGGCAGUCGCACUGAGUCGGUCAGACUGACACCCUCGUCCUCGUGUCUUUUAUAUUUAUUUAUUUUGUUAUUUAUUUAAUUAAUUACCUCUCCAGUUAUCUAUUUUUGUUAACUACCAGGCCACCACACAGAGCCUUAUGUGUCAUGCUUGUAUGUAAACCCUGUGUUGUGAGUAGUUGUAGUUGUAUGGCUGUUGAUAGCAGUAGCACAGCUGGUGAUAGCAUUUAGCAUGUUUAGCUAAUGGGAUUAGUAAUUAGGAUAUAGUAGCUUAGCAUUUUUGUAAUUCUGUGCCUUUCCUGUUGCUUUGAUUUGCCUUCUACUGUAAAUGUUACCUUCUUUUUAGAGUUAGCUUAGUCAUAUUUUGUCUAAAGGAUAUGUAUUUGUAUUUAUAUUGAUUUUGUUAAGUGUAGUUUUUUUUAAAUUUGUUUUCUAAGCCAUUACAUUUGUACCUGUGAAUUCACGCAUGUGCUUUAUAUCACUGAGUGAACUGUGCCUUGUUGACUUUGCAAUGGCAGAGGACGGACAGUGUUUGACAGUGUCAGGGUGGCCUUGCUUGGGGGGCGGGUUGGUAGGGUGUGAGAGGUGAGGUGAGGUGUGGGGGGGUUGGAGUGGGGGUGGAGGAAGACCGCAGGGCCACAGGCUGGUGGAUGCAAAUGCAAUGUAGUCUCCGGUGUUUAUCAUCCGGCAGGGCGAGAUGAGCUCGCCGACUCCUUUUCAUCCUCCUUGACACACUCCUCCUCUCUUCAUGCAAAUGGAUGUGGAAAAUGGCAUUUAUCACGCAGGGUUUUUCCGUAAAUGAGGCCCGCCCCAUCCACCAAGCCACCGCCAGGGCCAAGAAAACAAAAUGUCCACCUCGCCCGGCGACAGCUCAAUUUAUGCGCUGAGAGAAAGAGUGCUUUUGAAAGAGCACUCACACACACAUACACACGCUCUCUCUCACACGCACGCUUACACUCACACUCACAGACACACAGACACACAUGCCCACACCCGAUAAACAAUUACCACCAGCUAAAAUUUACUAUAACCGGGUUUUCCAUGUAUCCGCAUGCAUGUCAUGAAUAUGUAUCACAUUCCACGCGUGAUGCCGUAUUCUAAACUCUAACACCCAUGGAAAUCCAAUUGCCCACCUAAUAGGAUCUACUUGACUUAUGAAAGCAUAUCUUCAGACAUGUCAGAUCUUAUACAUAUACAUGAGCAAGAGGGCUUCUCUCUCAUUUCUCUCUUUUCGCUCCUUGUCCUAGGAAAUGAUUUUCCUCACGUUUAUUUAUUUCCCUCUCAGUGAUAUGACAUUAAGACAGACCUUUUUUGAUUUUAUCAUCAUUAUUAUUACGAUUAUUAUUAUUAUUAUUAUUGUUUUUCUCUCAAGACAUAAAUGGGAAAAAUGUCCAUGCAUUAAUGAGGAGGCUGGAAGAAAAGGGGUUAGAGGGGAGAGUGUGAACAAGAGAAAAAAAAGGAAGAGAGAGAGAGAGAGAGAGAGGGAGAGAAAGAGGAAAGGGUGCUAAAUCUCCAGACAAUCUAAUUUACUCUUAAUCAUCUUUAAACGUAUUCAAACGAGCUGCCUCCAUUUCAGAGCCAUUCUGCGCUCCCCCGUUUGAUGGGCCUGUAAUUAUGGAGCGCUUGUGUGCUGUGCUGGGCUUCUCUGAGUAGGAGCUGGAGGGGGAAAAAGGGGGGGGAUGAGGGGGGUUGGGGGGACAGAGGUGCUGGCCCUACCACUAGGGGACCCAUACAAUUGGACAGAAUGGCCCCCACAAUAUGUCUCUUUGGCAGCGUCCCAGUUAUUAGCAUAGCUGUUAUUUAUUUAUCUCAUGUUAAAAAAGAGAGAGAAAAUGGAGGCUAUUAUUUUUAAAGAAUGUAUUUAAAUGUAUAUCUAGAUCUGUUUUUAUUCCCUUUGCUCCCUAUUGCCUUACUGACAGCAGUACCUCAUGUAAUGCAUUCGCCAAAAAUGUGGAGUGGAUUGUAAAUGCAGCCGAUUGCAUAAAGGUUUAAACAAACUUUUGCAAAAUAGAAAAAAAGAGAGAUUUUGCAUCAAUCAUUACUUGAAGGAAAAAAAAAAAACAAAGAUAAAAAUAUCCAGGGCAGUACUGGAUAGUAGGAUAGUGCAGAAGACCCGCAAAUGGCCUUAAAAUACCCUGUAUCAAAAUUAUUUGAAGAUUAUUUUGAUAGAUUGCAUUGUUGCAUGUUUGUUGUUUUUAAUUCUAAUUAGAUGAUGAUUCACAAUGAUGUUUACAACAUGUAUUUUCACAAUUAUUUUUGAUUGACAUUUCUUUGAUGUUCCUUUGAAAUGUUGAAAUGACAUUUAUUAUUAUGACAAUCAUUAUCUUAUGAUUAAUUUGAAGAUUUUAGUGAAAAGCUUGCUGAUUAUGUCUUCCUUCAUAACUUAGUAUUAGUAUAAUAAUAUUUUAGAGGGUUUUGAUUCAUGUUCUAUUUUGUAAAUUUUGCUUGAUGUUAAUUAAUUUUGUUUGAAAAAUAAAGUCCCAUCUUUUUGAAAUGCUAA